rnacentral:rRNA from 1 species
CUACGGGUCGCAGCAGUGAGGAAUAUUGCACAAUGGGGGGAACCCCGAUGCAGCAACGCCGCGUGGAGGAUGACGCAUUUCGGUGUGUAAACUCCUUUUAUACGUCAAGAAAAUGACGGUAGCAUAUGAAUAAGCACCGGCUAACUCCGUGCCAGCAGCCGCGGUAAUACGGAGGGUGCAAGCGUUACUCGGAAUCACUGGGCGUAAAGGACGCGUAGGCGGGUUGGAAAGUCAGGUGUGAAAUCCUACAGCUUAACUGUAGAACUGCACUUGAAACUUCUAAUCUAGAGUAUGGGAGGGUAGAUGGAAUUAGUGGUGUAGGGGUAAAAUCCGUAGAUAUCACUAGGAAUACCUAAAGCGAAGGCGAUCUCCUGGAACAUUACUGACGCUAAGGCGUGAAAGCGUGGGGAGCAAACAGGAUUAGAUACCCUCGUAGUC